GGCUUAGAGUUUGAUCAUGGCUCAGGAUGAACGCUAGCUACAGGCUUAACACAUGCAAGUCGAGGGGCAUCAGGAAGAAAGCUUGCUUUCUUUGCUGGCGACCGGCGCACGGGUGAGUAACACGUAUCCAACCUGCCCUUUACUCGGGGAUAGCCUUUCGAAAGAAAGAUUAAUACCCGAUGGCAUAAUGAUUCCGCAUGGUUUCAUUAUUAAAGGAUUCCGGUAAAGGAUGGGGAUGCGUUCCAUUAGGUUGUUGGUGAGGUAACGGCUCACCAAGCCUUCGAUGGAUAGGGGUUCUGAGAGGAAGGUCCCCCACAUUGGAACUGAGACACGGUCCAAACUCCUACGGGAGGCAGCAGUGAGGAAUAUUGGUCAAUGGGCGCUAGCCUGAACCAGCCAAGUAGCGUGAAGGAUGAAGGCUCUAUGGGUCGUAAACUUCUUUUAUAUAAGAAUAAAGUGCAGUAUGUAUACUGUUUUGUAUGUAUUAUAUGAAUAAGGAUCGGCUAACUCCGUGCCAGCAGCCGCGGUAAUACGGAGGAUCCGAGCGUUAUCCGGAUUUAUUGGGUUUAAAGGGAGCGUAGGUGGACUGGUAAGUCAGUUGUGAGAGUUUGCGGCUCAACCGUAAAAUUGCAGUUGAUACUGUCAGUCUUGAGUACAGUAGAGGUGGGCGGAAUUCGUGGUGUAGCGGUGAAAUGCUUAGAUAUCACGAAGAACUCCGAUUGCGAAGGCAGCUCACUGGACUGCAACUGACACUGAUGCUCGAAAGUGUGGGUAUCAAACAGGAUUAGAUACCCUGGUAGUCCACACAGUAAACGAUGAAUACUCGCUGUUUGCGAUAUACAGUAAGCGGCCAAGCGAAAGCAUUAAGUAUUCCACCU
rnacentral:rRNA from 1 species